CUGUUGGCAGCCUCGCCUCCACAGGUUCAGCUGCUGGCUCCGCUCGUCGUAGUGCGCGUGCGCUCCGGGGUUGCUCAGGUUGUGCUGGAUGCAGGGUCGGGACGACAGGGUGCUGCAGCAGCUGAAGGGAACGCUGUCCAUCAGGACUUUUCUGUCAGGUUGGAGUCGCCUGCUGACAUUUUCAUUGCUUUUUGUGACUGAUACAGAACACUCCCACACUGAUGCAUGUUGCUGUGGGACAGGCAAUGGAUCUAAAUCCAGGACAAUGCUGGAAGAAAACCUGUUAGAAGACCAGAGUCUGGGCUGGAGGUUCAGAUUCCAGCAGGAAAACCAGGGAUGGCCUAGUCCAAGUCCAGACAUAAAUCAACUGAGAUUAUGUGGGAAGACUUGAUGUUCUCCAUGCAGACUGGCUGAACUACAGAUGGAGGAAACCCGUCAGGGAGAGGCGGUUCUGCAGAGUUCUGAGGCAGGCCCUAAA